CGUAAAUAUAGGGCGUCUGGAGAAGUUCGUGCGUUUGCGCGCAAACACAAAUCUCAGUAGAGCCAUGGUGGUUGUCACAAGCGCAAGGAGAGGAGAACAGUAAAGAGAGACAGCAGCAGUGAUCAGAGUAUACCAGCUAUAGAAUAGAAGUGGUGUGUCAUUAAUAGGUCAUCACAGUCUGUAUUCCAAUCAAUACAUUUACUUUAACAUAGCGCCUCGGUAUGUUCAGAGCGGUGUUUGGAAAUAGACGCGAUGGAAAAGGAAAAAAAGGAGAGAAAAAGGCCAAAGUUGAUUCAGGGUGGAGGGCAAAUCCAAUUAGCCCAUUUAAUUCUCUUCAUCGCCACCAUCAUCAUCUUCAUCAGCCCACUUAACACUGUCCCCUGUCCUUCAUCACCACCAUCAUCCUCAUCGUCAUGGAGAAGUGUGUCAGGAGAGGAGUUGACCUACUAAAGAGAGGAUCAUGAAGUCCUGCAGUGCUUCUGAGAAGUGUUCUGGUAGUUCUUCAUAAGCACAGUCUCUGUGCUAAUGAGACUGCUCACAAACUAUUAAACUAUGGUUUGCAAUCGGGUUGGAGGUUGCUCAUGGUCUGACACGCAAAGAAUGCUCGGAAAACCUUUUGAUCCUUGUAAAGAUUUAAGGAACACCAAUUCUGGUUUGCUGAGAGUUUUCUUAGUGUGCGAUUGUUCGGCCCCCAGGGGUGAUCGUUUCUGUUGGGUCCUAAGAUAAAACGUUUAAGAACCCCUUCUGUUCCGCCGCUGAAUGAAGCUACAGCUGUGCGGAUACACAAAUGCUGUUUGAAUCCUAUCGCUGGGAGCGGACAAGUCCUUCCAUCUCAGUGCUGGAAACAUCUCCAGAAACACAGCUAGCAUGUUGCACAUGAAUAUUUCAUCAUGUACUGAACUCAUUGGCAAGAGACGGGCGAUCUGAGAGAAUGUAUCUCAUUAAAGUGGUAAAUUAGUGCUACAGGGCUGGGGGACUGUAGUCCCUACUAUACCAGUCCUAGCAUUUGCCCUGCAUAGUUGAUCAGAUUAUAGCCUAUAUCUCCUAUAAGGGAGACUGUAACUGAAGAGUGCUAACACACGGCCUGCAUAGUUCCUCAUGAUAUACAUUAUGCAGUCUAUAUAUGUACGUGUUAAUGUGUAAUCAAUUACUGUAAAUGACUUGAAAUAGUGUUCUUGAACAAAUAAAUGCAUGAUCAUGUAUAGUGGAUGCAUGAAACAAUUGCUCAUAUAUAGGGUUAAGUUAGUUUGAAAUAUACAAACCUUGCAUAUAACUUUAAUAUGAAAACAUGCCUGAGGAAUCUAGUAGAUUAGAGUUUGUACUCUAUACUAUCCUGCCUACUAGGCCUUGUCUGCGUAGUGGUAGAACUCUGCGUGGAACCUUGAUGUGGAUGACAUCUGUUGCUCCAAAUUAAACUGGAAAUAUUUUGCACCUUUCAAGCAAGUGUGGAGCAAAGCACUGCAUCUAUCUUAUUCAUAGAAGAUUGAGGACACUUGUUCUAAAGGAGCAUAUGUCUUGAUGUUCAUAUUUAUCAUCUAACAUUUCUUUAUGUUCGGAAUUAUCAUCAGACACGUCUAUGUUAAUAAUUAUCAUCUGACAUGCCUUUAUGUUCAUAUUUAUUAACUGAAAUGUCUAUGUUCAAAAUUAUCAUCU
ensembl:lncRNA